rnacentral:misc_RNA from 1 species
GGCUUAUGGUUGUUCUCAAUUGAUGCAAUACGACCAAUAUCAAUGAACUCCUUUUGAGGAAUACAUAUAGGAGAUCCAAUCCUGACAAUGCCCUCAAGAACAUCAACUCCCAGAACAAUUGGAUCCUUCUUGUUGAAGACACAAUUCGGUACGAUCUUGAGCACACAGGGGAAGACUGCUUCUUCAGCAACUUCCUUCUUUUUUUCUUCCUUGAUAGUGUCAAUGUAAGCUUUAAACUGAUCAAAUAAGUGAUAUAUAAUAUCAGCCAUAAAAACCUUGACACCAAGUUCAUCUGAAAGUUCCCGAGCUUCCUGUGUCACUUUAACAUCAAAGGCCAAGAUGGUUGCAUACUCUUUCUUCUUCUCAAGCAUAACACUAGCUUUCAUGACAUCCUUUUUAUGCACGGGACCUAUGCCAAUCCCACUGACAGGUAUGCUUACUUCUGGGGUCUUCAAAAAUUCAAGCAAAGCUUCUAAUGAUCCAAGUGUAGAUGCUUGAACAUAUACUCCCUCUCCACUUUUGUCGAUCCUGCUCAUCACUGACUUCAUAUCUUCCAUAGCUGCUUCUUUGAUGUCUUCCACAUCAUCAUCAGGCCCCACAACAUAUAGACUAGUACCAGCAAUUGCAUGCUCAAAGCCCUGGGCGGUUAUCUUUAUACCCUGGGCAGCCUUGAUUUUCUUAUGAUGCAAAUAUGUUCCCUUUACUCGGAGUUCCUUCAUGGGGUGAGGCGUUAGUAGAGCUCGGAUGGAGGUAACAAUCGGUCCCUGCAUGCCACAAACGACGAUUUGAUCUCCUUCAUGAAGGACACCAUUAACCAAAACCACGUCAAUAGUCGUUCCAUGCCCUUCAACAACCUUAACCUCCAACACCGUGCACUGCACUUCAUUGCUGUAAGUAAGUCUUUCAAUCAUUGUCUUUUGUGUCCAUUGAACAAGUAACAACAGCAUGUCAGGAAUACCUUCUCCGCUAAUAGCACUAGUUGGUACAAUACUGAAGGUGUCCUUUCCCAUUUCUUUAUUUUUAUAGUACAAUUCUGUAUUAAUACCUUGUUCCUUGAACUGGGUAACAAUCUGAGUAAGCCUUGUAUUAAAUUCAAAUUGAACAUCUUUGGACUGUUGUUUCAUCGCCUUCACAAUGGGAGCAUUCUUGCAAACUUUCCAUCCAUAAAGCCUAUCCACCUUAUUCAGAGCAACAAUAAAUUCUGUGUUCCUCAUCUUAAGAAGAUUAAGUGACUCUAUGGUCUGUGGUUCUAGCCCAUGCAUGAUGUCAACAACCAAAAUUGCAAUAUCACAUAAGCCUGAACCUCGAGAACGCAGAUUCGUGAAAGAUUCAUGUCCAGGAGUGUCGAUGACCAACAAACCAGGGACCUUCAGCUUCGCAUCAGCUUUGAGCUCCUUAGUUCUCUCACGUAUAUUCUCAGCAGGAAAGUAAGUUGCACCUAUCUGCUGAGUAAUCCCUCCAGCUUCACCUUCUUGAACAUUGGUACCUCGUAUGCAAUCAAGUAGCUUGGUUUUACCAGUAUCAACAUGCCCCAUAAUACAGCAAAUAGGAGACCGGAGAUUGUCUUCAUCCUGGUUAGGAGCACCAGGUUCUUCGGGACUGUCUUUCUGCUUAUUUUGCUCUGCACCCCUAGCCUCAGGCUCACCCUUCCUACUUCGGUCAUUCUUCAGUACACCUGGUACAGUUGCAGCAGUUUUUUGAAUCGGAAUCACCGACUUGGAAGCAACAGGCAGAAUCGCUGCACCAUGAACAGCUGAACUUACAACCUUAAUCUCUUUCUUAGUUAUAGGCUGCAGUUCUGAAUCUACCUCCUCGUCUUCAAAAGCACUCUUACCAGGCAGUUUCAGAUCAGCAUCAUCCCAACUUUUUGCAUCCCAUUCUUCAUCAUCUUCCUCUUCUUCUUCAACUUCAUUUUCUUCAGCAUCAGCUAUUUCUGACUUUUCCUCUGUAAUUGUCGAAUCCACAUCCUCAACUUUCUCAGUUUCCACAGAAUCAACCUCUGACACAAUCUCCUGAUGAUGUUCUUUAACUUCUGAUAUUUCAAUCGACUCUUCCUGCAUUUUGCCAUUAGCCUGAGCUUGUGGUUUUGACUUCUUCGUUUGAUAAAUUGGCCGUUUGGUUGUCUCUUUCUUAUUCUCCCCAGUGGGGAGUGUCCCACCAUUAGCAAGAAAUUGUUUCCUCAUUGCUUCUAAUCUUCGAGCUUCUUCCUUUUGCUUUCCUGUAAGCAGUUUCCCCUCUUGUUUCUUCUUCAAAAGCUUUUCCUUUUCUCUCUCCUUUUUCAAACGUUUCUUCUCUUCUGCAAGUUUUUCUAGCUCUUCCUGAAGACGCCGUUCCUCUUCUUCCUUCCUUAACUUCUCCUCCUCUUCCCUCUUCUUCCUUUCUUCAGUUUCCUUCAUCUUUUUGAGUCUCUCUUGCAUCUCCCUAACCUGCUUUGACUGUUUCUUAUCAGCCAAUUUUCCUUUUGCGUCAUUUUUUGUUUCUUCCUGCUUUUCCUCUACACUAGAGGCAGCAGCAGCUGCCUUUUUUUCUUUUUCCUUCUCCUUCUUCUUUUUCUUC